rnacentral:rRNA from 1 species
GACGAACGCUGGCGGCGUGCUUAACACAUGCAAGUCGAACGGAAAGGCCCUGCUUUUGUGGGGUGCUCGAGUGGCGAACGGGUGAGUAACACGUGAGUAACCUGCCCUUGACUUUGGGAUAACUUCAGGAAACUGGGGCUAAUACCGGAUAGGAGCUCCUGCUGCAUGGUGGGGGUUGGAAAGUUUCGGCGGUUGGGGCUGGACUCGCGGCUUAUCAGCUUGUUGGGGGGGUAGUGGCUUACCAAGGCUUUGAAGGGUAGCCGGCCUGAGAGGGUGACCGGCCACAUUGGGCCUGAGAUACGGCCCAGACUGCUACGGGAGGCAGCAGUGGGGAAUAUUGCACAAUGGGCGGAAGCCUGAUGCAGCAACGCCGCGUGCGGGAUGACGGCCUUCGGGUUGUAAACCGCUUUCGCAUGUGACGAAGCGUGAGUGACGGUAAUGGGUAAAGAAGCACCGGCUAACUACGUG